UGGGUUUUACUCCAGUUUAUAAUUUUAUGUGCCUGAGAAUUUUUGUGCAAAUACAUGUCAUCUUUCAUUAAAAAUAUGCAUAGCACACUUUGGAUAAAGUUAGUUACAACUAACUUUUCUUAAAAAAUUUAAAUAUAUAAAUAUACAACAUAAUUUACUGCCUACUGCCUGAUUGCACUUCUGGUUUAAACCCUCUGGCCUCCAAGGAAAACGGAGAAACAGGCAAUAAUGUUUGCAUUCCUGGGCCACCAUGUUGUCCAGAAGAAAUAGUCUAAAAAAGUUUUUAAUUUCAAUUUACCCUUAUUUUCCUCUUAAAUCCCUCCAAGCCCAAUCACAUUGUUAUUUUUUUUUUGUUGUGUUGUACAAAAAUACAAGCUUAAAAAAAACUGAAGUUCUAAUAAUCACAAAUACAAAGGGAUCUAUCUGGGUGGUGUUUGGGUUCUCCGUGAGGGCCUCACAGCUGCUAACUUCUUCCUCCUGCUCAGCCAGAAUCUGGAGCUUCCGUUCCCAUUCUUCAGCGAAGAACUGCUUCUCACUUAGGUAGUUCUGUCUUCUCAGGCUAAGGCGAUGCAAUGCUGUAGCCAGGUCACUAUCUUCAGGGAGUCCUGGGGGGUCCCUGGGAUGAGAGUUCC
rnacentral:lncRNA from 1 species